rnacentral:rRNA from 1 species
UGGGGAAUAUUGCACAAUGGGGGAAACCCUGAUGCAGCGACGCCGCGUGAGCGAAGAAGGCCUUCGGGUCGUAAAGCUCUUUUAUAUGGGAAGAUAAUGACGGUACCAUAAGAAAAAGCCCCGGCUAACUACGUGCCAGCAGCCGCGGUAAUACGUAGGGGGCUAGCGUUGUCCGGAAUCACUGGGCGUAAAGGGUUCGCAGGCGGCAAUGCAAGUCAGAUGUAAAAGGCAAAGGCUCAACCUUUGUAAGCAUCUGAAACUGUAUAGCUUGAGAAGUGUAGAGGCAAGUGGAAUUUUUAGUGUAGCGGUGAAAUGCGUAGAUAUUAAAAAUAAUACCGGUGGCGAAGGCGACUUGCUGGGCACAAUCUGACGCUGAGGAACGAAAGCGUGGGGAGCAAACAGG